ACGGAAGGCAGCAGUGGGGAAUAUUGCACAAUGGGCGCAAGCCUGAUGCAGCGAUGCCGCGUGAGGGAAGAAGGUUUUCGGAUUGUAAACCUCUGUCAACAGGGACGAAAAUGACGGUACCUGUGAAGGAAGCUCCGGCUAACUACGUGCCAGCAGCCGCGGUAAUACGUAGGGAGCAAGCGUUAUCCGGAAUUACUGGGUGUAAAGGGAGUGUAGGCGGGACUGUAAGUCAGAUGUGAAAUAUGCCGGCUCAACUGGCAGACUGCAUUUGAAACUGCGGUUCUUGAGUGAAGUAGAGGUAAGCGGAAUUCCUAGUGUAGCGGUGAAAUGCGUAGAUAUUAGGAGGAAUAUCAGUGGCGAAGGCGGCUUACUGGGCUUUAACUGACGCUGAGGCUCGAAAGCGUGGGGAGCAAACAGGAGGAGAUACCCUGGUA
rnacentral:rRNA from 1 species